UCACACAAGUUUGUUUGCCACUAAGCGUUAAAAAGACGACGAGUGCUGACUACUUAAACACACAGGAACAAAAUCAUUUAAUAUUUGACAGUUAAAGAGCAGAAAUGUUUGAUUGUAUUUAUGACGAUGUGAUCAAGAUUAAGUCUGAGGGAAUGAAGAAACAGUAGAGAGAGUGACGGUGGAAAUCUAUGAGAGUUCAGAUCAUGACUUCAGGACAGAGACAAACACACACCAACCACUUCAGCAUAUAGCAACAUCUCUUCUCUGAUGACGUGUUUACUGGCGUGAGGAGGGAAAACCUGUCACUCACAUGACGUCACAGCAAUAGCAAACCAUCCAAUCAAUUCCCGAUAGACAAAAUCAAGUCCCGGCCUACAUUUUUUCUUGCUUGAGAAGCUGUUUCUCUUGGAUAUACAUCACUAUAAGGAAGAAAAGACUAUUGCAACAGCCAACUGAUCGGAUGUCACAUGUUUUUGUGUUCACACGCUGACCACAAAUUUGUUUGCCACUAAUGUUAAAAAUAAGACAAGUGCUGACUACUUAAACACAUCUACACAGGAACAAGGAACUAAAUUGUUUAAUGUUUGAUGGUUAAAGAGCAGAAAUGUCUUAUAAUAUUUAUGACAACGUAAUCAGGAUUGUACCUGAGGCAAUGAAGACAGAGAGAGCAGAGAUGACGGAGGUUAUCUAUGAGAGUUCAGAUUGUGUGGGAGAUCAUGACUUCAGGAUAGAGACAAACACACACCAACUACUUCAGUGUAAAGUCUGCCAUUUUCAGGAAGUGAUCCUGUAAGGAUCAGAAGCUCCAGAGCAGCUCUAGUGUGUUUGGUGCCGCUGUGUGUUCUUCUGCUGACUGCAGUCAUAGUGCUGUGUGUCUACAUCCAUACAAAGAGCACAAACUACACAGAAGAGAGAGACCAGCUACUAAACAAGAUUACCAACCUCACCAAAGAGAGAGAUGGGCUAAUAAUAAAGAACAAAAACCUGAAUGAGAGAGACCAGCUAGGAAAUGAAGUUCCGAUUUAUGCUGAAUGGACUCGUUAUCAAUCCAGUCUUUACUACAUAUCCAAAGAGAAGAAGAGCUGGACUGAGAGCAGAAGAUACUGUACAGAGAGAGGAGCAGAUCUGAUCAUCAUAAACAACAGAAAGGAACAAGAUUUUGUUAAGAACAUGUCUGGUGCUGCUAUAGUCUGGAUUGGUCUGACUGACAGUGAUGUGGAGGACAGGUGGAAAUGGGUUGAUGGCAUCGCACUGACCUCUGGGUUCUGGGCGUCUAAAGAGCCUAAUGGAGGUACAAGAGAGAACUGUGUUGUGACUGUGGCUGUGCCUAAAUUGCCAGAGUGGCCUGGUUUAGUAGGGUGGAUUGAUGAAUCAUGUAAUAAAGCUUAUCAAUGGAUCUGUGAAAAGAAUAUUUCACAACUCAUGCUGCCAUAGGAACAUAAUACAUCUUUUUUGAUGCAAGUUUAACAGAACAAAACUUUUGUAAUAAUUGAAUAUCAUCUAAAACAGUGUUCUCAACUUUGCUCCUGGAGGAUGCCCACAAUGACACAUUUUGGAUGUCUCCUUUGUCAGACACUAAUUUCAUGUCCUGGAGUUUCUUGUAAUGAGCUGAUGAUUUGCAGCAGGUGUGUUUAAUUAUGGUGAAAUAUAUAAUGUUCAAAAGUGAUCUUUACAGAGUAUUCUGCAUUGUCAAGUGAGAUUCCAGUCUGAAGGAAUAUUAUUCAGUUCUACAUCAGUCAUUGCGCAACAGUCCAGUAUUUUAUAUGUAUAUAUAUAUAUAUAUAUAUAUAUUUCCUCCGAGGAGGCAAGGGAGGCAGUGCCAUUGAGAAUGAGAAGCAGGUGUGUUAAAUUUGGUGUUAUUGCUCUCUCUCUCUUAUACUGGUCACUGGAAGUUCAACAUGGCACCUCAUGGCAAAGAACUCUCUGAGGAUCUAAAAAAAAUAUAUAUAUAUAUAUAUUGUGCUCUACAUAAAGAUGGCGUAGGCUAUAAGAAGAUUGCCAAGACCUUUGUGGAGCAUCCUCAAACAGAAGGUAGAGGAGCGCAAGGUCUCUAACAUCCACCAGCUCCGUGAUGUUGUCAUGGAGGAGUGGAAGAGGACUCCAGUGGCAACCUGUGAAGCUCUGAACUCCAUGCCCAAGAGGGUCAAGGCAGUGCUGGAAAAUAAUGGUGGCCACACAAAAUAUGGACACUUUAGGGCCAAUUUGGACAUUUUUACUUAGGGGUGUACUCACUUUUGUGGCCAGCGGUUUAGACAUUAAUGGCUGUGUGUUGAGUUAUUUUAAGGGGACAGCAAAUUUACACUGUUAUACAAGCUGUACACUCACUACUUUACAUUGUAGCAAAGUGUCAUUUCUUCAGUGUUGUCACAUGAAAAGAUAUAAUAAAAUAUUUACAAAAAUG